rnacentral:rRNA from 1 species
UACGUAGGGUGCGAGCGUUGUCCGGAAUUAUUGGGCGUAAAGAGCUUGUAGGCGGUCUGUCGCGUCUGCUGUGAAAAUCCGGGGCUCAACCCCGGACUUGCAGUGGGUACGGGCAGACUAGAGUGUGGUAGGGGAGACUGGAAUUCCUGGUGUAGCGGUGAAAUGCGCAGAUAUCAGGAGGGAACACCGAGUGGCGAAGGCAGGUCUCUGGGCCACUACUGACGC